UCCCUGGUUGAUCCUGCCAGUAGUCAUAUGCUUGUCUCAAAGAUUAAGCCAUGCAUGUCUCAGUGCAAGCCGCAUUAAGGUGAAACCGCGAAAGGCUCAUUAAAUCAGUUGUGGUUCCUUAGAUCGUACCCAAGUUACUUGGAUAACUGUGGUAAUUCUAGAGCUAAUACAUGCCGACAGAGUUCCGACCGUCGCGGCGCCCUCGGGCGUCGCUCGCGGGAGGAACGCUUUUAUUAGAUCAAAACCGGCCCGUCGCGGCGCGCUUCGUGCGCGUCCCGAUCGCGGCCCGCGCAAAGACCUGGUGACUCUGAAUAACUUCGAGCUGAUCGCACGGUCUCCGUACCGGCGACGCAUCUUUCAAAUGUCUGCCUUAUCAACUGUCGAUGGUAGGUUCCAUGCCUACCAUGGUGGUAACGGGUAACGGGGAAUCAGGGUUCGAUUCCGGAGAGGGAGCCUGAGAAACGGCUACCACAUCCAAGGAAGGCAGCAGGCGCGCAAAUUACCCACUCCCGGAACGGGGAGGUAGUGACGAAAAAUAACGAUACGGGACUCAUCCGAGGCCCCGUAAUCGGAAUGAGAACACUUUAAAACCUUUAAACGAGGAUCAAUUGGAGGGCAAGUCUGGUGCCAGCAGCCGCGGUAAUUCCAGCUCCAAUAGCGUAUAUUAAAGUUGUUGCGGUUAAAAAGCUCGUAGUCGGGAUCUGUGUCUGGACGGUGCCGGACCACCCUGGCGGUCCGUCGUGUCGCGGCCGGCCGUGUCGCGGGACCACGUGUCCCGUCGGCGCGGUCGCCGUCGCGCUCGUCAGCCGUCUCGGGGUGUUAGUUACCGGCACGUCGGCCGGACGUAUUGUCGGCAGGCGGACACGUGUCUCGUGCUUCCGGCGCGCCGCGCGGCCACGCGUCGCGCGGCCGUCGGUGUUCGACGACGGCGGCCGCCUACUCCAAUCUUGCUGCGCGGUGCUCUUCACCGAGUGCCGUCGGCGGGCCGACACGUUUACUUUGAACAAAUUAGAGUGCUCAAAGCAGGCUCGAAUCUGGCGGGGCGGCUUCACGGCCGUCUCGUCAAAAGGCCCUGAAUACUGGUCGCAUGGAAUAAUGGAACAAGACCUCGGUCCCGCGCAUCUCCGCCCUUCGCGGGCGCGCGAAAUCGCCCUCCGGGGCGUUUCCGUGCGCGGGCCGCCGGGCCGCGGGCGCCAGUCGCCCGCGCGUCCCGCCGGGCCGGUUUUCGGGACCGGAGGUAAUGAUCAACAGAGACGGGCGGGGGCAUUCGUACCGAGACGUUAGAGGUGAAAUUCUUGGAUCGUCUCGAGACGAACUGACGCGAAAGCAUUUGCCAAGUACGUUCUCGUAUGAUCAAGAACGAAAGUUAGAGGUUCGAAGGCGAUCAGAUACCGCCCUAGUUCUAACUGUAAACGAUGCCAGCUAGCGAUCCGCCGGCGUUUCAUUAACGACCCGGCGGGCAGCUUCCGGGAAACCGA
rfam:Acyrthosiphon pisum strain LSR1 Contig4908, whole genome shotgun sequence.